rnacentral:rRNA from 1 species
AACGAACGCUGGCGGCAUGCCUAGCACAUGCAAGUCGAACGAGACCUUCGGGUCUAGUGGCGCACGGGUGCGUAACGCGUGGGAACCUGCCCUUAGGUUCGGAAUAACUCCCCGAAAGGGGUGCUAAUACCGGAUAAUGUCUUCGGACCAAAGAUUUAUCGCCUUUGGAUGGGCCCGCGUUGGAUUAGCUAGUUGGUAGGGUAAAAGCCUACCAAGGCGACGAUCCAUAGCUGGUCUGAGAGGAUGAUCAGCCACACUGGGACUGAGACACGGCCCAGACUCCUACGGGAGGCAGCAGUGGGGAAUAUUGGACAAUGGGCGAAAGCCUGAUCCGGCAAUGCCGCGUGAGUGAUGAAGGCCUUAGGGUUGUAAAGCUCUUUUACCCGGGAUGAUAAUGACAGUACCGGGAGAAUAAGCUCCGGCUAACUCCGUG